AAUAGACACGGGGGAGGGAUGGGAAAGAUGAGCCAAGAGAGAUGACAGGGGAGACAGACCAAGGAUACAGAUAUAAACCAGCAGAUUUAUAUAAAUUCAGAGAAGCACUGAGGAGACAGGAAGGAAAAAGUGGGCUGGGACUGAAGGAGGGGGUCAAGUGCAAGACAUAGAAGACCUUAUAUGGGUUAAAUAAGAGCUCAUCAGAGCCAAAGCCUAUGGCCUAUGCAUUUAAUAAUAAACAUUUAAUCUCAGAGUAGUCAUUCCAGGAACAGGACUAGGUAGGAAAAAUGGAUAUAAUAUUUGUAUUUACAAGGACCCUCAGUUGAAAAAAUGCCCCACUAGAUUGGCUUGAAGGCAAGACUAUGGCAUAUUUUCUUGACUAAUGAUUGAUGUGGGGUGGUCCAGCCCACUGGAAGUGGGCCAACACCCUGGGCAGGUGCUUCUUGGUUGUGUAAGAAAGAAGGCAGCUGAGCAAACCACUGGGAACAAACCAGUAAGCAGCUGCCUUCCAUGGUCUCUGCAUAAGCUUCUGCCUCCAGGCUCCUGCCUCGGCUUCCCUCAGUGCGAUCAUGAGUGGGAUACAUAAACCAUUUCCCCAGUAAGUUGCCUUUGGUUAGUAUUCUGUCAAAGCAAUAGGAGCAAACUAAGACUAGCAACAUUUAUAUCACUUUUAAAUGUGAAAAGCUGUAGAGAUAGAGACGAGACGAGUGAUUUCUAGUUAGGUAACGGUCGGGGAAGCAGGGAGGAGCAAAGCCUAUGAAGAGGAGCGCCAUGCUGGUGGAAGUGUGGUCUUGUGAAGACGACUCCAUCAAUCCAGACAAGGGAUAAAACUGCAAAAAAAAAAAAAAAAACAAAA
rnacentral:lncRNA from 1 species